AAGAGGGACAACUUUUUUGAUACGUAGACAAACUUUACUAGAGGGUAAUGAAAUACACAAAAAACAUUGUAGGCCCAAAGCAAGCCAUCAAUUAAGAAAGCGUUAAAGCUCAAACUUUACCAUUACUUAAUACCAAUAAUCAAUCAAACCCCCUAAACACAAUAUUGGACAAUUCUUUAACCAUUUAGAAGAUAUAAUGCUAAUAUGAGUAACCCGAAUAUAUUCUCCUUGCACAAGCAUAAAUACAGAUCGGAACAGCCGCUUACACUUAAUCAAACAAAUAAAUAUAAUUACAUACCAGCAACCUACCUAACAAUAUUGUUAACCCAACCCAGGUGUGCAUAAACAGGAAAGAUUAAAAGGAAUAAAAGGAACUCGGCAAACAUGAACCCCGCCUGUUUACCAAAAACAUCACCUCUAGCACUGACCAGUAUUAGAGGCACUGCCUGCCCGGUGAGUUAUGACUUUAACGGCCGCGGUAUCCUGACCGUGCAAAGGUAGCAUAAUCACUUGUCUCUUAAUUGGGGACUAGUAUGAAUGGCAUCACGAGGGCUCAACUGUCUCUUAUUCCCAAUCAGUGAAAUUGACCUUCCCGUGCAGAGGCGGGAAUAUGAAUACAAGACGAGAAGACCCUGUGGAGCUUAAGUCAUACAACUCAAAAAAUACUAACACAAAACCCACCGGUACAAAACGUAUUAACCACUGAGUUAGAGUCUUUGGUUGGGGUGACCUCGGAGCACAAAGCAACCUCCGAAUGAAUAUAACCUAGAUUGACCAAUCUAAGUGUAAUACUACCAGUAAUUGACCCAUCUUUUGAUCAACGGAACAAGUUACCCCAGGGAUAACAGCGCAAUCCUAUUUGAGAGCUCAUAUCGAAAAUUAGGGUUUACGACCUCGAUGUUGGAUCAGGACACCCAAAUGGUGCAACCGCUAUUAAAGGUUCGUUUGUUCAACGAUUAAAGUCCUACGUGAUCUGAGUUCAGACCGGAGAAAUCCAGGUCGGUUUCUAUCUGUAAAUUCAUUUCUCCCAGUACGAAAGGACAAGAGAAAUAGGGCCAACGUACCAAAUAAGCCCUAGAACCAAUAUAUGAACCAAUCUUAAUAUAUAAAAUCAAUUUACACCUCCCCAAGAAAAGGGUUGUUAAGA
rnacentral:rRNA from 1 species